rnacentral:lncRNA from 1 species
UUUUAUUAAUUUUUUUAUCUUCUAUGGUAUUAGUUUACUGCAAUGCGUAAAUUAUUCUUUUAAGGCCCAGUUUGGAUUGGGGAUAAGGAAUGGAAUAACCACUUAUCCCCCUUUAUACCCAAACGUUAAUUUUUUAUCUGAAAAUAGUAAUUUUCAGGUAUCUAAAAUAAGCUGAUAUAACUAUCCCCACCAACACUUCUAUUUUUCUAUAUAUAACUACCAAUUAUUUUUUUUAUUCCAUAUUAUCUAUCCAAACGCAAUUUUUUUUUUAUCCCGGAAAACAAGCCAAUUUUCAUCCAAACGUUAUUUUUUUUAUCCCCAUAUUUAUACUUAUUUAUGUAAUAACUAGUUCUUACUUAUAUCCGAACCAAACGGUAGCUUACGGUCAAUAAUAUA